UGAAGUCAAAUGUGUUUCUGGAGGUUGUGAUGAAAGAUGCAUCUCCUGAAGGACGAUUAUCUCCUACCAUCUGAGGAGAUAAUCGUCUAAUCGUGAGCAAGUUGCUCUGAAGAUGUUGGAAAAUAUGGAGUAGCUAGAAGAGGUACUGCUCACAUUAUAUUCUUUGUUUCCACCUCUCCCGUUGCUUGACUCAAAUCUGGCAUGUCAGAUGCCAAAUCCUGAAUGGCAAUGCUCAUCCUUUGGAUUAAUUUUGUUAAUUUACAAUGAAUUACACAAUAUGUUAAUUAAAAUUGUCUAAUGUUAAUGAGUA